AUUGAACGCUGGCGGCAGGCCUAACACAUGCAAGUCGAACGGUAACAGGAAACAGCUUGCUGUUUCGCUGACGAGUGGCGGACGGGUGAGUAAUGUCUGGGAAACUGCCUGAUGGAGGGGGAUAACUACUGGAAACGGUAGCUAAUACCGCAUAACGUCGCAAGACCAAAGAGGGGGACCUUCGGGCCUCUUGCCAUCGGAUGUGCCCAGAUGGGAUUAGCUAGUAGGUGGGGUAACGGCUCACCUAGGCGACGAUCCCUAGCUGGUCUGAGAGGAUGACCAGCCACACUGGAACUGAGACACGGUCCAGAUUCCUACGGGAGGCAGCAGUGGGGAAUAUUGCACAAUGGGCGCAAGCCUGAUGCAGCCAUGCCGCGUGUAUGAAGAAGGCCUUCGGGUUGUAAAGUACUUUCAGCGGGGAUGAAGGGAGUAAAGUUAAUACCUUUGCUCAUUGACGUUACCCGCAGAAGAAGCACCGGCUAACUCCGUG
rnacentral:rRNA from 1 species